rnacentral:rRNA from 1 species
GAUGAACGCUGGCGGCGUGCCUAAUACAUGCAAGUCGAGCGAACGGACGAGAAGCUUGCUUCUCUGAUGUUAGCGGCGGACGGGUGAGUAACACGUGGCUAACCUACCUAUAAGACUGAGAUAACUUCGGGAAACCUGAGCUAAUACCGGAUAAUAUUUUGAACCGCAUGGUUCAAAAGUGAAAGACGGUUUUGCUGUCACUUAUAGAUGGUUCCGCGUUGCAUUAGCUAGUUGGUAAGGUAAAGGCUUACCAAGGCAACGAUGCGUAGCCGACCUGAGAGGAUGAUCAGCCACACUGGAACUGAGACACGGUCCAGACUCCUACGGGAGGCAGCAGUAGGGAAUAUUCCGCAAUGGGCGAAAGCCUGACGCAGCAACGCCGCGUGAGUGAUGAAGGUCUUCGGAUCGUAAAACUCUUUUAUUAGGGAAGAACAUAUGUAUAAUUAACUAUGCACAUCUUGACGGUACCUAAUCAGAAAGCCACGGCUAACUACGUG